AUCACUUGGGAAUAACCUUGCGAAAGUAAGACUAAUGCCCAAUGACAUUUAUAGAAGGCAUCUGAAAUGAAUUAAAGAUUUAUCGGUGAUGGAUGGGGAUGCGUCUGAUUAGCUUGUUGGCGGGGUAACGGCCCACCAAGGCGACGAUCAGUAGGGGUUCUGAGAGGAAGGUCCCCCACAUUGGAACUGAGACACGGUCCAAACUCCUACGGGAGGCAGCAGUGAGGAAUAUUGGUCAAUGGGCGAGAGCCUGAACCAGCCAAGUAGCGUGCAGGAAGACGGCCCUAUGGGUUGUAAACUGUCUUUUAGUAAGGGGAAAUAAAGUGAGCCACGUGUUGGUUUUUGCAUGUACCCUAUGAAUAAGGACCGGCUAAUUCCGUG
rnacentral:rRNA from 1 species